ACGGGUGAGUAACACGUAGGUAACCUGCCUAACAGACUGGGAUAACUACCGGAAACGGUAGCUAAGACCGGAUACGACCAUUUGGGGGCAUCCCUAGAUGGUGAAAAGCGGAGUAAUCUGCUACUGAUAGAUGGACCUGCGGCGCAUUAGCUAGUUGGUGAGGUAGUGGCUCACCAAGGCGACGAUGCGUAGCCGACCUGAGAGGGUGAACGGCCACACUGGGACUGAGACACGGCCCAGACUCCUACGGGAGGCAGCAGUAGGGAAUCUUCGGCAAUGGACGAAAGUCUGACCGAGCAACGCCGCGUGAGUGAUGAAGGUUUUCGGAUCGUAAAACUCUGUUGCCAGGGAAGAAUGGCCAGAAGAGUAACUGCUUUUGGUUUGACGGUACCUGAGAAGAAAGCCCCGGCUAACUACGUGCCAGCAGCCGCGGUAAUACGUAGGGGGCAAGCGUUGUCCGGAAUUAUUGGGCGUAAAGCGCGCGCAGGCGGUUGUUUAAGUCUGGUGUAUAAACCAAGGGCUCUACCUUUGGACGCAUUGGAAACUGGGCAACUGGAGUGUAGGAGAGGAAAGUGGAAUUCCACGUG
rnacentral:rRNA from 1 species